rnacentral:rRNA from 1 species
GACGGAGGGUGCUAGCGUUGUUCGGAAUUACUGGGCGUAAAGGGCGCGUAGGCGGCUACGGCAGUCGGAUGUGAAAGCCCGGGGCUCAACCCCGGAACGGCACCCGAUACUCUGUGGCUCGAGACCGGGAGAGGUGGGUGGAAUACCCAGUGUAGAGGUGAAAUUCGUAGAUAUUGGGUGGAACACCAGUGGCGAAAGCGGCUCACUGGCCCGGUUCUGACGCUGAGGCGCGAAAGCGUGGGGAGCAAAC